CCGUGCGGGGUUAUCAGUUCAGCGAAUGAGGGUAUCCGCGUCAGUGUCGUCAUCUUCCACUCAUCAGGAUGCCCCUUCCAAGAAGGAAGCUGCUGACCUUACCGCAGACUCGAACGCCUCCAUUCGUGAAAUGGCG
rnacentral:SRP_RNA from 14 species